rnacentral:rRNA from 1 species
CAGCCGCCGCGGUAAUGCGAAGGGGGCUAGCGUUGCUCGGAAUGACUGGCGUAAAGGGCGCGUAGGCGGAUUGUUUAGUUAGGCGUGAAAUUCCUGGGCUUAACCUGGGGACUGCGCUUAAUACAGGCAGUCUAGAGUGAGGAAGAGGGUUGUGGAAUUCCCAGUGUAGAGGUGAAAUUCGUAGAUAUUGGGAAGAACACCGGUGGCGAAGGCGGCAACCUGGUCCUUGACUGACGCUGAGGCGCGAAAGCGUGGGGAGCAAACAGGAUUAGAUACCCGCGUAGUCCCUGUCUCUUAUACA